UGAGACACGGUCCAGACUCCUACGGGAGGCAGCAGUGGGGAAUAUUGCACAAUGGGGGAAACCCUGAUGCAGCCAUGCCGCGUGUGUGAAGAAGGCCUUCGGGUUGUAAAGCACUUUCAGCGAGGAGGAAAGGUCAGUAGCUAAUAUCUGCUGGCUGUGACGUUACUCGCAGAAGAAGCACCGGCUAACUCCGUGCCAGCAGCCGCGGUAAUACGGAGGGUGCAAGCGUUAAUCGGAAUUACUGGGCGUAAAGCGCACGCAGGCGGUUGGAUAAGUUAGAUGUGAAAGCCCCG
rnacentral:rRNA from 1 species